rnacentral:rRNA from 1 species
UGGGGAAUCUUCCGCAAUGGACGAAAGUCUGACGGAGCAACGCCGUGUGAGUGAAGAAGGCCUUCGGGUCGUAAAGCUCUGUUGUCAGGGAAGAAAGGUACUUUUGUGAAUAAUGGGAGUAAAUGACGGUACCUGACGAGGAAGCCACGGCUAACUACGUGCCAGCAGCCGCGGUAAUACGUAGGUGGCAAGCGUUGUCCGGAUUUAUUGGGCGUAAAGCGCGUCUAGGCGGAAAAAUAAGUCUGAUGUUAAAAUGCGGGGCUCAACUCCGUAUUGCGUUGGAAACUGUUUUUCUAGAGUACUGGAGAGGUGGGCGGAACUACAAGUGUAGAGGUGAAAUGCGUAGAUAUUAGGAGGAACACCAGUGGCGAAGGCGGCUUACUGGACUGUAACUGACGUUGAGGCUCGAAAGCGUGGGGAGCAAACA